GACGAACUGUCCAAACGUUGUUCGGAAUCACUGGGCUUAAAGGGCGCGUAGGCGGUCGGCCAAGUCAGGGGUGAAAUCCUGCAGCUUAACUGUAGAAGUGCCUUUGAUACUGGUCGUCUCGAGGGAGGUAGGGGUGUGUGGAACUCAACAGUGGAGCGGUGAAAUGCGUUGAUAUUGUGAGGAACGCCGGAGGCGAAAGCGACGCACUGGACCGUCUUCUAACG
rnacentral:rRNA from 1 species